UUAACCCCUAAAUACCCAAGCCUGGUGACGGAACCACGAAUGUUACAAGAGUUGUUUUUUUUUCUGCUAAUUCGGAAUAAAUAAUAUUUUAUAGGCCUAAGUGGUAUUUUAUUGCAAGGAAAGGAAAUCCUGUUGGUGUAUAAAAUAAACGUAACUCGGGUGAAAUCAUUAACACAGUGUUUUUCAGAAGAUUUUCUAAAAUGACGCAUUUCAACAAAAAGUCUUGAAAAGUCGAGAUCCACGUUUGGUAACUAAACAUUAAUGGCCACCAUGUAUAAAUUGCCAAGAGGCGGCAGAUCAUGUAUCUGCAGAACAUAGAAGCCAUCAAAACGGAGGUUUGGCGAGAUCGACACAAAUACAGAGUACUGUCGCCUGACCACCAGAUACAUGGCCGGAUAUUUCUGGUGACAUCACUACUGUUACUGAUAAAGGUCCAGGCAAUAUCAGCUCCACCGACAACUCUUGACAUCCCAUCAAACGUUCCAGCCACCUCAGCUACAUCAUCUGACGACAUACCUUCCUACAGUGGACACUACUUCAAAGAUGUCCCCACGGCAGCAGCAACUAUUAUUAUCACGGUCUUUGCGGCCGUGUUCAGUUACGGUCUGUCUGUCAUUAUUAAUGUCUUCUGUCCAGAUCAGUGUGACCACAGGGGCAGCUGUGCACCCAAGAACACUACGGUGUUUUGCAGACGCUAUAAAAGAACAAUCACACCUUCAUUAAAUAAUGGCGAAAAAGAACUGUAUCCACAUCAACCCUCGAUUACGAUUAUUGGAAUACCGAAUGGAAGACCUAAUCAUAACAAGAAUGUGCAGACAUGGCUCGAACAAGUUGACCACACGAUUGGUGUACCAGAAGAGCCCAUCAGUAGUGGUGACGGGGAGGUUGAACCUGCUACAUUGACUUAUGAUAAUAAAGUUAACCAAGCAGUCGUUGAUGCAAAAAUGCCGUCUUCAGAUAUUAGCGGGAAUUGUGCAAAUAAAGAAGGUUACCAAAUGUUUGUUGUUGCACCUGCUACAGAUGUGACGAACGAUCAAACGACAGGUAGGCAAACGCUCAAUAUAGAAACUGAUAAAACUGCAGUUAAACAAGGAACAGCGGCGAAUGAAACACCGAUGAAAACAAAUCAUACACACAUCAUACAGGCAGAAAUAAAUUGGUACCCGUCCAAAGAAAAGGCAGCCAUUACAUUAAGGGAGGGUAUUACUUCAGAUCCGGAAGUGGACAUAGAGGUUAAGCAGAAAGCUUGGAACAGGGAAACUUUGAAUAAAAGCAGCAGCAGUGACGCGAAGGAAAGUGAACCAUUAUUACAAUCUCCUUUACAGGGUGGUUCUCCUCUAUCAUCACAAACGCUUGUCACUAACCAGGGACGUCCUCUCAGUAUCACAUUGGAAUCGAUAAGGACAGAAGAUACAUUCAUCGAAGAAGGUCCCAGCAAAGACGAGGAAGAACAAUCCUUCGUACCGUUCAAUGAGGACGUUGUGUUGAAACCACCGACGUCAGAUAAUCUUUAUCCAUAUGUUUCAUCAAUGCAGAAUAUGGAACGUGAAGAAAAGGAAGACACGAAAGACAAAAAUCAUGAAAACAGCGGAGGAAACAGCACUGUUAGAAACUGAGAGUACCAGGGAAUUUAAUUGCAAUAUCAUUUCGGAAAUUAUUUCAGUUUCAAAUACUCUAAUUAUUUCAUUGCUAAAAAGUGUGUUCAGCCAAUUAUACUUUGAUGAUUUUGUUUCUAUAAUAGUACAUUGCUGUAAUAAAACAUAAAAUUAAAUACAAUUUAUGCAGUUCUGAUUUAAAAAAUAUAUUGAGUUUGAUCAGCUUUGCAGCUCUUUACCCCUUAUGCUUAGACAUUAUUGAUUAUGGGGACCGGGUGUCAAAAAGUAGCGAACUAUAUAAUAACUGUGUCAAUUCGGCAGAAAUUUCUAUUAAAAUAAAAAUUGUAUUGGCAUUUUAAUCACAUCUUGCUGUUAUUACAUUGUGAAAAGGUCCAAAAAAUUAUGAUCACGACCCACCCAGAAAAAAUCCUCUAUACACCCCUGUGGCUCAGGGACGUAACACAUUGAUGUCAAAAAUAAAAACCUAUAUAGCACCAGUUACCUUUUAUAACCUAAGACCUCUUGAGAGUUACCAUACACGUAAAUAAACAAAGUAAAUACCAUUAUAGGCCUAAUGUAUCAGGAGACUCUCGAGAGUCAACAUAUGGGGUAUCAGACAAAGCGUCUACUGGAACUAUUUUCCUGGACAUUUUAGGCGGAGUCUCAUAUUUCUGUCGGUGACAAUGCAUGUAAAUAAAAUACGAUGUAUCUUCAAUAGCAUUAUGUCAACAUACACUGUGCAAUGUAACCAUGGCAGCAGCAAUACAUAAAAUGGUUUCUUUUAGAGUAGACCUAUUAUUUCAUUUGCAACCAAAAGGAAAUUUCCAACUACAUGGUCAAAAUAAAUUGUGAAGAUACUUAGAAUAUGAAGUCUGUAAAAUAUGCUCUCUCCUAAAUUAUAAACUUUAAAAGUCAUAAAAAAAAAACAAAAAAAAAAACAAAAAAAAAAACUGGUACUGAAUUUGAAUGUACAGCAAUGGGACAGCUAGCAUCAAGCUAAACCUCUACAUCAUACUCAUUAUCAUACAAAUAAAUAAUCAACAACAGUAAAAGAAGUCGGGCUUAUAAAAAGUAUUUCUGUAAUUAAAUCGAUUUAUUAAUAAAAAAAGUAAUUUAUAUUUUCUCCAAUUA
rnacentral:misc_RNA from 1 species